AUGUGUUUGUCCCCUCCGUUGAAUCGUUCCCCACUGGAAGAGGAAAAUUAUACUUCUCCUCUUCCUCAUCUUCCAGUGGGGGGCAGGCUGUCCCACUUUCUAGAUCAAUGGGCUCUGAUAACUUCAGACAAGUGGGUACUUUCGAUUUUACGGAGGGGAUUGGAACUUCAGUUUCUGGAACAGCCUCCUCUUUCUCCUGUUCCAAUCAAUCUGUCAGUGACAAAGGAUUCUCAAAAGAAUCAGUUGUUACAAGACGAAGUGAACAUUCUUAUUCAGAAGGGUGUGUUGGAGGAGGUAAAUCCUCCUUUUCAUCUAGGGUUUUAUUCCCGGCUGUUCUUGGUUCCCAAGAAGAACGGGAAAAUGAGACCGGUUCUAGAUCUUUCUGUUCUCAAUCAGUAUCUGGUGGUCCCACAUUUCAAAAUGGAGACCAACAGGUCUAUCAGGUCGACAAUUCAUUUAGGAACUUGGACAACCUCUCUAGAUUUGAUGGACGCCUAUUUUCACAUCCCUAUUUCUCACAAGUUUCGUCAUUUCCUGAGACUGGUUUGGGCAGACAAGGUUUACAGUUUCAAGGCUAUGCCUUUUGGCCUGGCUAUUGCACCCCUAGUUUUUACCAGGAUUUUUCAGACGGUGGUGUCUUAUCUUCAUACUCAGGCAGUACUCAUUCACUCCUACCUAGACGAUUCUCUCAUCAAGAAUCAUUGCCGAUCUCUUUUGGAGGAACACACCAAUUUGUCUAUCCUUUUACUCCUGAGACUGGGUUUUUUUGAUUUCAUGGGAAAAAUCAGAGAUAAUUCCCAGUCAGAGUUUCAAUUUCCUGGGAGAACAUUUUCGGACAGAUUUGGGUCUAGUGCUUCCUCCAGAAGAGAAGGUAGUCAAGGUACGUCAGUUAGUCAAUGCUCUGACUCAGUUUUCAUCUGUCCCAGCUCGUCAAUUGCUUCAGCUGGUGGGUUUCUUGAUUUCGAUCAUGGACGUCAUUCCACUAGGACGUCUACACAUUCGUCCAAUCCAGUGGUAUCUGUCGGAGUUUUGGCACCCAAUUUCUCAGUUGUGGGAGGCACCUGUUCCCAAUCCUUCCUCGGUUGUUACCUCAUCUUCAAUGGUGGCUUCAGGAAAAAACAUCUUCGGAAGGGAGUUUUGUUGGAUCCUCCAGACCCCAGCCUAACUUUGUUCACAGAUGCGAGUCUGAUGGGUUGGGGAGCUUAUCUGGAGGGCAGGACAGCAUCAGGCCUUUGGUCAGGUGCUCAGUUGGAGGAACACAUCAAUCUUCUAGAGAUGAGAGCUGUGUUUCUUUCUCUCCGUCAGUUUCAGGCUGUGAUUCAGGGUCAGUCACUACUGGUUGCCACGGACAACUCCACAGUAGUGGCUUAUCUUCAGAAUCAAGGAGGGACCCAUUCCUUUUCUCUGUAUCAUCUGAGCAAGGAAAUUCUUCUUCUGUGUCACAGUCUCAAUUUAAUUCUGUCAGUGAGACAUGUUCCAGGCAGUCAAAAUCUUCUGGCGGAUGCUCUCUCCCGUUCCCGUGUUCCAGUGAACACAGAAUGGGAAAUUCAUCCAUCAGUGUUUCAGGAGAUCAUUCUUCGUUGGGAUCGUCCUCAUAUAGAUCUUUUUGCCACCAGUCUGAAUCACAAGUUGGAGACUUACGUUUCUCCCAUUCCAGACGAGAAAGCUUGGGCAGUAGAUGCUAUGACCCUAUCUUGGAAGGGAAUGUUCAGUUACAUGUUCCCUCCUUUUCGUCUUCUUCCAAAGAUCUUGCACAAGAUUCAGAGGGAUCUUUGCAAGACCAUUCUUAUUGCUCCGGCUUGGCCAAGACAGUCUUGGUUCCCAGAACUACUACUUCUGUGUUGUGCGAAGCCCCUUUGUCUUGCCUCUAAGAGAGGAUCUACUGUCUCAAUUCAAAGGAAGAAAACUGCAUCAGGGUCUGAGAAUCUCCAUCUGCACGCUUGGUUGUUGUCAGGAAUUCCCUCAGAAAGGGAGGCUUUUCUGAGGGAGCAACCAAGCGUAUCUCAGGAUCAGUCAGACAAUCUACAGGAGCAGUUUAUGACUCAAAAUGGUCUAUCUUCUGUACUUGGUGUCUGUCGAAGCAGAUUAAUCCACUCUCUGUUACUGUACAACAGUUAGCGGAUUUCUUUCUUUACCUUUUUGAGGAGAAAGGUUAUUCUCCUUCUACUAUAAAGGGAUAUAGAUCUGCCAUAGCCAGAACAAUAUCACUUUCAGGAGGCUCUGAUUUUGGGUGAUAAUGAGUUUUUGUCAUUAUUGAUAAAAAACUUUUGCCUUAAUAGACCUCGUCAAAGGCGUUUGGUUCCUUCUUGGGACUUAGGUUUAGUUUUGAAGGUUCUUCAGUUUCCACCUUUUGAACCUUUACAUUCAGCCUCCUUCAAAUUUUUAUCUUAUAAAUGUUGUUUUCUGAUAGCUUUGGCUACUGGUCGCAGAAGGAGUGAGAUUCAUGCCUUGUCAAUUUCUGAGUCUUGUCUCCGCUUUGCGUCUGAUAAGUCUUCAGUUACUCUUCUCACUGAUCCAUCUUUUUUAGCAAAGAACCAGUUACCUGAUAAAGGUUCUGGUUUAUUACUAUUCCUGCUUUACCUCCCACAGGCGGAUAAUCAGGUUUUGUGUCCAGUGAGAGCCUUGCUUGUUUACCUAGCUUCUUCAGCUAAAUUAAGAUCUGCUGGUUCUUCUAGGUUGUUCAUUCCUAUUAAAAAAGGAAUUUCUGACAUUUCUGCUAAAACCAUUUCUACCUGGAUUUGCAAUACUGUCAUUUUGGCCUAUAAGUCUGCUUCUUCUGAAGUUUUAGUUAAACAUCAAGUUAAAGCACAUGAAGUAAGAGCCUUAGCCUCUUCUUGGAACAUUUUUAAUUCCUCCUCUAUGUCGGAAAUCAUGUCAGCUGGUUUUUGGAGGUCUGAUAGUGCCUUUUAUAACCAUUAUUUACGGUCCAGACCUCUCCAUUGUGACAACCUCUAUUCUUUAGGGCCUUUAGUUGCUGCUCAACAGGUUGUUUUUCCUCCUCCUAGUGAUGGGGAUUCAGCUCUUCGUUAA
rnacentral:sRNA from 1 species